GAUGAACGCUGGCGGCGUGCCUAAUACAUGCAAGUCGAGCGAACGGACGAGAAGCUUGCUUCUCUGAUGUUAGCGGCGGACGGGCGAGUAACACGUGGAUAACCUACCUAUAAGACUGGGAUAACUUCGGGAAACCGGAGCUAAUACCGGAUAAUAUUUUGAACCGCAUGGUUCAAAAGUGAAAGACGGUCUUGCUGUCACUUAUAGAUGGAUCCGCGCUGCAUUAGCUAGUUGGUAAGGUAACGGCUUACCAAGGCAACGAUGCAUAGCCGACCUGAGAGGGUGAUCGGCCGCACUGGAACUGAGACACGGUCCAGACUCCUACGGGAGGCAGCAGUAGGGAAUCUUCCGCAAUGGGCGAAAGCCUGACGGAGCAACGCCGCGUGAGUGAUGAAGGUCUUCGGAUCGUAAAACUCUGUUAUUAGGGAAGAACAUAUGUGUAAGUAACUGUGCACAUCUUGACGGUACCUAAUCAGAAAGCCACGGCUAACUACGUG
rnacentral:rRNA from 1 species